UUUGUACUCCCUUCGUCCCAAAAUUCUUGUCUUAAAUUUUUCUAAAUACGGAUGUAUCUAGUUACAUUUAUUGUUAGAUACAUCCAUAUCUAAACAAAUGUAAGACAAGAAUUUUGGGACGGAGGGAAUACAAC
rfam:Triticum aestivum genome assembly, contig: Triticum_aestivum_CS42_TGACv1_scaffold_593074_7BS